rnacentral:rRNA from 1 species
CCUACGGGAGGCAGCAGUGAGGAAUAUUGGUCAAUGGGCGAGAGCCUGAACCAGCCAAGUCGCGUGAGGGAAGACGGUCCUAUGGAUUGUAAACCUCUUUUGCCGGGGAGCAAAAAGCGGUACGUGUACCGCAUCGAGAGUACCCGGAGAAAAAGCAUCGGCUAACUCCGUGCCAGCAGCCGCGGUAAUCCGGAGGAUGCGAGCGUUAUCCGGAUUUAUUGGGUUUAAAGGGUGCGCAGGCGGCGAGUUAAGUCAGCGGUAAAAUUUCGGGGCUCAACCCCGACGAGCCGUUGAAACUGGCGUGCUAGAGUGGGCGAGAAGUAUGCGGAAUGCGUGGUGUAGCGGUGAAAUGCAUAGAUAUCACGCAGAACUCCGAUUGCGAAGGCAGCAUACCGGCGCCCAACUGACGCUCAGGCACGAAAGCGUGGGUAUCGAACAGGAUUAGAUACCCUUGUAGUC